CCGCGCUGCCGGAAGACCUGCGGGAUCGGGCGCGCCGCGGGAGCAGCGCUGCUUCCGUCGCGCCACAAUGGCGAGCUCUGGGCGGCGGGCGGGCCAGCGGUAGCGGGCGGUGGGAAUCGCUAAAUUGAACAGCAAUAACCAUGGGAGAUGCUGCAAAACCUUGCUUUGCCAAACAAAAGAAGGAACAGGAAAUUUUGCAUCCAGAAGAAUUAAAAGAAAGUCCCUUACAGAUAGUCUACCAAGUCAUGGAUGAAUAUGGAAGUGGCUGUAGCAAUAAAAUAGAUACUAGCCUGCAAAAGAAAAAGGGAACUCCAGGUCAUUACGGAAACAGUCCCAGGCGAGGGCCACGAAGUGUUUUGAGUAGCCCUAAUUCACUUAAAAACACAGCUUACAGUCAAGGGUCAAAGUUAAGUGAUAUCCAAAGAGACCAAAUCCAAAUGAAGAAGUGGGUAUCUGAUGAUCACCAUGGUACUUCUGACACCUGGAGAGAGUACCGUUCUGCUGCCUGGAUUCCUGGGCAUGGCAGGACAAGAAAGGACUCUUUUCAUGAGGUGGAAAGUGCUGGAAACAGAAAAGUAAGACGACAACUUCAGGAAGAUUUAAUGAGCAAAGAUGUGCCAGACGUGCACAAAGGAAGUUCUGAAAUGAAGAAACUUAGAAAACCAAGAAGACUGAGAAGAACUAGAAAAGAUGAGUGUGAUCAUGAUGAAGUGGAAGGUCCAGUCAUAGAUGAAUCUGUGCUGUCAGCAAAAGAACUUCUGGGACUGCAGCAAGCUGAAGAACGAUUGAAGCGAGACUACAUUUAUAGACUGAAGAAGCAACCUCGAAGCUACCCAUCAGCAAAAUAUACCUGCAAGUUAUGUGAUGUUCUGAUUGAGUCGGUGGCUUUCGCUCAUAAGCAUAUUAAAGAAAAAAGACACAAGAAAAGCUUAAAGGAAAAACAAGAAGAACAACUGCUGACUGCUCUUCCUCCUCCAACGCCUUCCCAGAUACAAGCUAUUGGUGUUGCUAUUGAAAAUGUUGUGCAGGAGUUUGGCUUAAAUAAUGAAGAUCUAGAAGAAAGGCUUAACAUUAAAACAAUGAUGGAAAACUUGCUGCGUCAAAAAUUGCCAGAGUGUUCAUUAAGAUUGUAUGGCUCCUCCUAUAGCAGAUUUGGCUUCAAAACUUCAGACUUAAACAUAGAUACCCAGUUUCCUGCCAAUAUGACCCAACCAGAUGUUCUCUUACUUGUACAAGAAAGUCUCCAGAACAGUGAAUCUUUUACGGAAGUUGAUGCAGAUUUCCAUGCUAGAAUACCAGUGGUGGUGUGCAGAGAAAAGCAAAGUGGCCUUAUUUGUAAAGUGAGUGCAGGGAAUGAGAAUGCUUGUCUGACAGCAAACCAUUUGGCUACACUUGGAAAGCUGGAGCCUACUAUCGUACCUUUAGUGAUUGCCUUCAGGUACUGGGCAAAGUUAUGCUGUGUUGAUCGUCCUGAAGAGGGAGGCUUGUCACCUUAUGUGUUCGCUUUAAUGGUUAUUUUCUUUCUACAACAGAGGAAAGAGCCUUUUCUGCCAGUCUAUUUGGGAUCAUGGAUUGGAGGAUUCUCAUUAAACAAAUUAACUAAUUUUCAUCUGAGAGAAGUCAAGAAUGAUGCUGUGGUUUGGGAGCAUAACCCCACUGAUGACUCUGAUUUGCCGCAAGAAACUUCCCCUAGAAGGGGCAAGGUUCCCUUAGUAUUUGAUGUAGGUCAGCAGUGUUCAGCACCUGUUGGUCAGCUCUGGCUUGAACUGCUUCGUUUCUAUGCUUUGGAGUUCAAUAUGGCUGAUUUGGUUAUUAGCAUACGACUCAAGGAACCAGUGUCUCGUGAAUUAAAGGACUGGCCUAAAAAGCGCAUUGCUGUGGAAGACCCGUAUUCAGUCAAAAGGAAUGUGGCAAGAUCUCUGAACAGUCAGCUAGUGUAUGUGUAUGUUCUUCACUGUCUGAGAGCAACUUAUAAGUAUUUUGCCUUGCCUCACAAAAAAAAUGCAAAAUGGAGCAAAAUACCCUCUUCAAAUGCAAAUGAGGAGAAAUCCCAAAUGCUGCACCAUGGAAAAGAUGCUAUAAAGCAUGAAGAUUCUGACUUGCAAAACUUGGAAGGUAGAACAAACACAGCCAUAGUAGAAGAUAGCAUAACAGAGGAUACACAUAUUCCCAAGGAACAUAAAAUUGGUCCUUCAAAACUGUGUGAUGGCUCAGAAAGUUUCACAGAAGAAGAAUUGGCUGAUGAUAUAAGUCAUCUGGGAAUUACCCACGAAGAUUCAGACUGUAUAAUUGAGGAAGUUAUUUCUGGAGAUAAUGAGGAUUUUAAACCUAGUUGUGAAGAGACAGAGAGUGAAAAUGAAGAUGAAGAAGAGGAGGAAGAGGAAGAACAUGAACAACAAAAAAGACAGUGGGAUACUGUUUUGGCUGCUGAGCAGACAAUUGAUGAAGACAGUGACAGUGGAGAACUCCCUGUUAUGGUGAAUGAGGAUGAAGUAGAGACAUGCAGGAUUUCAGACUCAGAAGGUUUUCAACACACUGCACUUACAGAGAGUGAUGAAUGUGGCUUGGAGUGCAGUGGUAUAACAGAUGAUAAGAUCGACAUUGAUGAGUAUAGUAGCACUGAAGGUACUGAUGAACUGGAUGAGUCCCCACAAAAAUUCCUGUGUUCAGCAGAGAGUCAGAUAUCCCAAAUGAUUAACUCAGAUGAUGAAGAGGAAGAAGAGGAAGCACCAACUCUUCUAAAUCAGAGAGAAUGCAGUGCUGCCAUUAGAGCUGGAGGUGAACUAGAUAACACCUGUACUGGAUCUGGAGAUGAUGAUGUGCUGUCAGAGGAAGACGAUUUUUCCAUCCCCAGUAAAUAUGAAAACAAACAAUUCAAAGAAUGUGUAGCUGCACCUCUGAGAAACAAUUUGAGUCAAGAAUAUCUUACUGAGAAGGGAAGCCAUUCUGAAGAGAGCACAGCAGUUGAACAGUGCUUAGAAUCUGAACUUUUUUAUGAAUUCAGUAAACAAGCAUUUACAAAGGGCAAGUCUCCUACAGUAGUAUGUAGCUUGUGCAAACGGGAAGGUCAUUUAAAGAAUGAUUGUCCAGAAGACUUCAAGAAAAUUGAGCUUGACCCACUGCCACCACUGCCACCCAAGUUUUCAGUUAUUCUAGAUCAAGUUUGUGUCCAGUGUUACCAUGAUUUUGCUCCAAAUAUGGUAGAAGAUCACGCUCGGGAACAUAUAAGACAAAGCUUAGAAAUCUUCAUCAGACAGGAUUUCCCAGGAACCAAGCUCGAUUUGUUUGGCUCCUCAAAAAAUGGCUUUGGCUUCAAACAAAGUGAUCUUGAUAUCUGUAUGACAAUAGAUGGUCUUGAAACUGCUGAGGGACUUGAUUGCAUCAGAAUCAUUGAAGAUUUAGCGAAAGUUCUCAAGAAACAGUCAGGUUUAAGAAAUGUCUUGCCUAUAACAACUGCUAAAGUCCCAAUUGUCAAAUUUUUCCAUGUCAGAAGUGGUCUUGAAGUAGACAUCAGUUUAUAUAAUACUCUGGCCUUGCAUAACACCAGACUUCUGUCAUCAUAUGCAGCUAUUGAUCCUAGAGUAAAAUAUCUGUGUUACACAAUGAAAGUCUUUACAAAGAUAUGUGACAUUGGAGAUGCAUCUCGAGGUAGCCUGUCAUCUUAUGCAUAUACUCUUAUGGUGCUUUAUUUCCUUCAACAGAGAAAUCCACCAGUCAUCCCUGUUCUUCAAGAGAUCUACAAAGAACCAAAAAAGCCUGAAAUUUUGGUUGAUGGCUGGAAUGUGUAUUUCUUUGAUAAGAUAGAGGAGUUGUCAGUUGUUUGGCCAGACUAUGGGAAAAACACUGAAUCUGCUGGGCAGUUGUGGCUGGGACUUCUCCGAUUCUACACAGAAGAAUUUGAUUUUAAAGAGCACGUCAUCUGCAUCAGGAGAAAAAAUCUGCUUACAACUUUCAAGAAGCAGUGGACCUCCAAGUAUAUUGUAAUUGAAGAUCCCUUUGAUUUGAACCACAAUCUUGGAGCUGGAUUGUCAAGAAAAAUGACAAAUUUUAUAAUGAAGGCUUUUAUCAAUGGCAGAAGGGUAUUUGGUACCCCUGUAAAAACAUUUCCUAAAGAAUACCCAUCAAAAAUGGAGUACUUUUUUGAUCCUGAGGUUCUAACAGAAGGAGAAUUGGCACCAAAUGACAGAUGCUGCAGAACUUGUGGUAAAAUUGGCCAUUUCAUGAAAGAUUGUCCCAUGAGACGAAAACUAAGACGGCGUCGUGAUUAUGAAGGUACACAAAGGUAUGGAGAAAUCGAGAAAAAAAGCAAAGAGGACAAAGAAAUGCAGAAUAAACCAACAGAAAAGGAGAACUUAAUCAAGGAGGGAAAGCUGCACCUAUGUACACCUCAGAAGAGGAAACUGGCAAGGGUAAUAGUGGAAACUGGAAGAGAGAAGACUCCCAGGCAAUCAGCAGAGAAGUGGAAGCGCCCGGAAGACAGAGACAUAAGAGAAAAACGUUGUUUUAUCUGUGGAAGAGAAGGUCAUAUUAAAAAGGAAUGCCCACAAUAUAAAGGAGUUGCAGAUGGCUCAAAUCCAGAAGUGUUGUGCAGGUCCCCUUCUUUAACCACUGCUGUCAAACAUGCUGGUAGAUUAAAUCAGGGAGUGCUUAUGCAUGAAGAAAAAAAGAAACAAAAAGGAAAAGUAUUUUUGAGUCCCCAGUCAGGCAGCCUUUCCAAUAAAUACAUGACUCAGGGAAAAGCCUCGCAGAAGAGGACCCAGCAAGAAUCAUGAGGGAUAUUAAGCACUGAUAAAUUGCAACACAGGCCCAUCAUUCACUUAAAAGAAAUGUCUUUGGCUAAAGCCUAUGAAUUCGCAGGACAGCAGCAUAGACAACCUUCAGCUUAAGUUCAAUUAAAAUAUGGGUGUUUUCUUUUAGAUUGCUAGUACAAGCAACUGUGGAUUUUAAUACAGACCCCUGCUCUUUAUAAUAGAUUGUUUGAACAUUUUAAUAGAAAGCCAUGAUGUUUUGUAUUUGUUUACUAGGUAAUGCAUUUAGAAAAGGGCAGGUACUAAAAAUGAACUGUUUUUAGGGUUUUGUUGUUCCACCUGACCAUUUUAAACUGCACUAAAACUAUGUGCUAGCCAAAUAAAUUAUAUUUUCUUCAAAAAUGAAUCUUUUGAAGGAGCAAAUGAUAUUUAUUAAUGUUGAUUGUUUACUGAAUCCUUGUGUAAGUGUUUGAGAUGUUUGUAAACUGCUAUAUUCUUUUCUAUUUCUCCAGAGAACUAAACACAUAGGCACUAGUCAUCAUAUGUUAAACAAUCUCUGGACAAGCAGUGCCACUGAGAUUUUGUGGGGUUGUUUUCUGUUCUGUGAUUUUAUGGGAGUUUAUUUGCUGCUGUGCUCGUGUUCAAGAAAGAAAGAAAGACUAGAUAACAGGUGGGAAACUGCACUUAUCGGCCUCCAUUGUUCUCUGCUGUGGGAAAAUGUUUGGGGGUAGAAAGACAACAGUAUGGAAAUUAUAGAGGAAAAGAGCAUUGCUACUCCCUGGAUGGAAUGUGGCCAGCAUAUCUGCCUUCCCACUCACUAUACAUGCUAAAGGUGGGUGGAGUAGAGUACACUCUAACCAGGCUCUUGCAGAGGCUUGAACUUAGUGGUCCUUUCUGGCUGAUAAGCUGCACAGCAGCUGAAAACCAAGGGAGAUGAAGGAAGAUGUGCUGUUGAUGAAUCAGCAGCUGUCGUGGAAUCCUCUAGGCUGACACGUUAUGCAUUCUGAGAUACCCACCCCCAACGUACAACUACUUCUCACAGGGUAAGCUAUAUGAUUACAGCCACUGAAGCUCCAUCUAAACAUGACAAAAUAGUACAAAAGUGAAUUCAGAAGAGUGAGAAGUUAGGAAAGACUCCAUUGUAACUUCUGGAAUCAGUUGACAGC